rnacentral:lncRNA from 12 species
UAGCAGAACGCGGGUGGGGGGGGAGUGUGCCCGCCUGCCUGGUGGUGGGGCUCCCCGCCCAGGCCACACACGGUGCCUCCCUGUGCCCAGUGACCGUGCGACCCCAGCCCUCAACCCGGUGGCCGGCCGGGAACCCAGGGUGUCUCUGGGACCUUCAGUUGCGCGGCUGCGGACUGUGCACCAGCGUGGGCUGGUCUGUGCGCCUCGGCGGAGCCUGAGAUCCGACCUCACUUCACGGGGCCAAGCCAGAUGCAGGGACUAAAAUGGGCUUGUGGGCGCGGGAGGCCCAGCCGGGGUCACCCCAGCUCCGCCCGCACCAAGCGCCCCGGACAGUUCCCACAGCAAACCCUUCUCUGUUCACUGUGCUGCGGGGGCGGGAGCCGGGGGCGGGGUAGGGCCGAACCCCGGGCCGGGGACACCAGCCGGUGGCGGUGGCGGUGGCGGUGGCGGCCGCGAGGGCUCGGGGGUCGGAGGGGGGGGGGGCGCAGGGACCGGGCCGCGGGGACGGGGGCGCGGCGGAGCCACCUCGGACGUCCCUGGGGCCUUGCUCGGCGAGGGUCUGGCGGGACCCGAGGGGCUGCCGCGCAUCGCAGGGGGGCGGGGGGCGCAGCUGCAAGCCGCCAGCCGGGAGCGCCCCCGCCCCCCCACACCCCGCCCCCUCCGCCCUCCCCCUCCUCCGCCCACCCCUCCCUCCGCGGGGCCCUUCGGGGGCGCCCUUGCCCCCAGGAGCGGUGA